AUUGAACGCUGGCGGCAGGCUUAACACAUGCAAGUCGAGCGGGGUGAUGGUGCUUGCACUAUCACUUAGCGGCGGACGGGUGAGUAAUGCUUAGGAAUCUGCCUAUUAGUGGGGGACAACAUCUCGAAAGGGAUGCUAAUACCGCAUACGUCCUACGGGAGAAAGCAGGGGAUCACUUGUGACCUUGCGCUAAUAGAUGAGCCUAAGUCGGAUUAGCUAGUUGGUGGGGUAAAGGCCUACCAAGGCGACGAUCUGUAGCGGGUCUGAGAGGAUGAUCCGCCACACUGGGACAGAGAAACGGGCAAGACUCCUACGGGAGGCAGCAGUGGGGAAUAUUGGACAAUGGGGGGAACCCUGUGCCAGCCAUGCCGCGUGUGUGAAGAAGGCCUUAUGGUUGUAAAGCACUUUAAGCGAGGAGGGGGCUCUUUUGGUAAAUACCCAAGAUGAGUGGACGUUACUCGCAGAAUAAGCCCCGGCUAACUCUGUGCCAGCCGCCGCAGUAA
rnacentral:rRNA from 1 species